GGCACACAAGAUAACAAAUGUCUAUUUAAGCCCCCCGUCCCACCUUGACCUCCACCUUGUUUAUGUUUAAAAGGUUGCUUACACUUAUUACAAAUAGCAAUAGAAUUUUCCUUAUCUAAAGUCAUAAAUUACCACACAACAGAAGUUUUAGGGCGUUGAUACUUCACCUUCUCCCUUGUAGGAGGUAUAAGGGGUAGGCGUCCACAAUUUUGCUCCGUUGAAUUUGUAGUUUCAUUUGGAACAUUUGUCACCGGACUAGUAGGUGUAUCUUCUAAUUCAUCUU
rnacentral:lncRNA from 1 species